rnacentral:rRNA from 1 species
GAUGAACGCUGGCGGCGUGCCUAAUACAUGCAAGUCGAGCGAACGGACGAGAAGCUUGCUUCUCUGAUGUUAGCGGCGGACGGGUGAGUAACACGUGGAUAACCUACCUAUAAGACUGGGAUAACUUCGUGAAACCGGAUCUAAUACCGGAUAAUAUUUUGAACCGCAUGGUUCAAAAGUGAAAGACGGUCUUGCUGUCACUUAUAGAUGGAUCCGCGCUGCAUUAGCUAGUUGGUAAGGUAACGGCUUACCAAGGCAACGAUGCAUAGCCGACCUGAGAGGGUGAUCGGCCACACUGGAACUGAGACACGGUCCAGACUCCUACGGGAGGCAGCAGUAGGGAAUCUUCCGCAAUGGGCGAAAGCCUGACGGAGCAACGCCGCGUGAGUGAUGAAGGUCUUCGGAUCGUAAAACUCUGUUAUUAGGGAAGAACAUAUGUGUAAGUAACUGUGCACAUCUUGACGGUACCUAAUCAGAAAGCCACGGCUAACUACGUG